rnacentral:rRNA from 1 species
GUGGGGAAUUUUGGACAAUGGACGAAAGUCUGAUCCAGCGACGCCGCGUGAAGGACGAAGGUUUUCGGAUUGUAAACUUCUUUUGCAGGGGAAAAAUACGCGCAAGCGUUUGAUUGUACUCUGUGAAUAAGCCACGGCUAACUACGUGCCAGCAGCCGCGGUAAUACGUAGGUGGCGAGCGUUACUCGGAAUUACUAGGCGUAAAGCGCGUGUAGGCGGGAGCUUAAGUCUGCUGUGAAAUCUAGUGGCUUAACCACGAGCGGCCGGUAGAUACUGGGCUUCUUGAAUUCGGUAGAGGUAACUGGAAUUCCAAGUGUAGCGGUGAAAUGCGUAGAUAUUUGGAAGAACGCCAAAGGCGAAAGCAGGUUACUGGGCCGCAAUUGACGCUGAGACGCGAAAGCUAGGGGAGCAAACAGGAUUAGAUACCCUAGUAGUCC